rnacentral:tRNA from 13 species
CGACAGAGAGGCAUCGAACCCACGGGGCAGAGCCCAAUGGAUUAGCAGUCUCAUCGCCUUAACCCUCGGCCACCUCGUC